rnacentral:rRNA from 1 species
UACAGAGGGUGCGAGCGUUAAUCGGAAUUACUGGGCGUAAAGCGUGCGCAGGCGGUUCGUUAAGUUCGAUGUGAAAGCCCCGGGCUCAACCUGGGAACUGCAUUGGAAACUGGCGAGCUUGAGUGCGGCAGAGGGGGGUGGAAUUCCGCGUGUAGCAGUGAAAUGCGUAGAGAUGCGGAGGAACCCCGAUGGCGAAGGCAGGCCCCUGGGCCGACACUGACGCUCAGGCACGAAAGCGUGGGGAGCAAACAGG